UGGGGAAUAUUGCACAAUGGGCGCAAGCCUGAUGCAGCCAUGCCGCGUGUGUGAAGAAGGCCUUCGGGUUGUAAAGCACUUUCAGCGAGGAGGAAGGUGGUGGACUUAAUACGUUCAUCAAUUGACGUUACUCGCAGAAGAAGCACCGGCUAACUCCGUGCCAGCAGCCGCGGUAAUACGGAGGGUGCAAGCGUUAAUCGGAAUUACUGGGCGUAAAGCGCACGCAGGCGGUUUGUUAAGUCAGAUGUGAAAUCCCCGGGCUCAACCUGGGAACUGCAUUUGAAACUGGCAAGCUAGAGUCUCGUAGAGGGGGGUAGAAUUCCAGGUGUAGCGGUGAAAUGCGUAGAGAUCUGGAGGAAUACCGGUGGCGAAGGCGGCCCCCUGGACGAAGACUGACGCUCAGGUGCGAAAGCGUGGGGAGCAAAACAGGAUUAGAUACCCUGGUAGUCCACGCUGUAAACGAUGUCGAUUUUGGAGGUUGUGCCCUUGAGGCGUGGCUUCCGGAGCUAACGCGUUAAAUCGACCGCCUGGGGAGUACGGCCGCAAGGUUAAAACUCAAAUGAAUUGACGGGGUCAU
rnacentral:rRNA from 1 species